UACGUAGGGUGCGAGCGUUGUCCGGAAUUAUUGGGCGUAAAGAGCUCGUAGGCGGCCUGUUGCGUCUGCUGUGAAAUCCCGGGGCUCAACUCCGGGACUGCAGUGGAUACGGGCAGGCUAGAGUCCGGCAGGGGAGACUGGAAUUCCUGGUGUAGCGGUGAAAUGCGCAGAUAUCAGGAGGAACACCGGUGGCGAAGGCGGGUCUCUGGGCCGGUACUGACGCUGAGGAGCGAAAGCGUGGGGAGCGAACAGGAUUAGAAACCCCAGUAGUCC
rnacentral:rRNA from 1 species